GCGGCUUUAGCUCACUUGGGAGAGCGCCAGACUGAAGUCCAAACUUUGGUUUCAAAGCGGGUUCUAAAUGAACCACGUGAUCUGGAGGUAUUGAGUUCGAUCCUCAAAAGCCGCA